UACAGAGGGUGCGAGCGUUGUCCGGAAUCACUGGGCGUAAAGGGCGCGUAGGUGGUGGCUUAAGCGUGCGGUGAAAGCUCGGAGCUCAACUCCGAGUCGGCCGUGCGAACUGGGCUCACUGGAGCAUAGUAGAGGCAGGUGGAAUUCCGGGUGUAGCGGUGGAAUGCGUAGAGAUCCGGAAGAACACCGGUGGCGAAGGCGGCCUGCUGGGCUGUGGCUGACACUGAGGCGCGACAGCGUGGGGAGCAAACAGG
rnacentral:rRNA from 1 species